AAACCAACAGGGAUUGCCUUAGUAGCGGCGAGUGAAGCGGCAAGAGCUCAAAUUUGAAAUCUGGUACCUUCGGUAUCCGAGUUGUAAUUUGUAGAAAGCAAUCUUGGACUUGGCCUUUGUCUAUGUUCCUUGGAACAGGACGUCAUAGAGGGUGAGAAUCCCGUGCGACGAGGUGUCCAUUUCCUUAAGAUGUUUUCGAAGAGUCGAGUUGUUUGGGAAUGCAGCUCAAAGUGGGUGGUAAAUUCCAUCUAAAGCUAAAUAUUGGCGAGAGACCGAUAGCGAACAAGUACUGUGAAGGAAAGAUGAAAAGAACUUUGAAAAGAGAGUGAAAAAGUACGUGAAAUUGUUGAAAGGGAAGGGUAUUCGAUCAGACUUGGUAUUUAGUUAUCUGUUCCUUUCGGGGGGCAGCUCUAGAUUUUUACUGGGCCAGCAUCAGUUUUGGUGGCAAGAUAAUCGCAGUUGAAUGUGGCUCCUCGGAGUGUUAUAGCUUCUGUUGAUAUUGCCUACUGGGACUGAGGUCUGCGGCUUUUGCCUAGGAUGCUGGCGUAAUGAUCUAAUACCGC
rnacentral:rRNA from 1 species